AGCAGCCGCGGUAAUUCCAGCUCCAAUAGCGUAUAUUAAAGUUGUUGCAGUUAAAAAGCUCGUAGUUGAAUUUCGAGAUCAAUUUGUUGGUCGUGCCUCGGUACGUACUGGCAAUUUUGAUUUCUCCCUUCUGAAGAACCAUGAUGUCAUUAAUUUGGUGUUAUGGGGAAUCAGGACCGUUACUUUGAAAAAAUUAGAGUGUUUAAAGCAGGCUCGCGCUUGAAUACAUUAGCAUGGAAUAAUGAAAUAGGACGUUUGAUUCUAUUUUGUUGGUUUCUAGGAUCGACGUAAUGAUUAAUAGGGAUAGUUGGGGGCAUUAGUAUUCAAUUGUCAGAGGUGAAAUUCUUGGAUUUAUUGAAGACUAACUACUGCGAAAGCAUUUGCCAAGGAUGUUUUCAUUAAUCAAGAACGAAAGUUAGGGGAUCGAAGACGAUCAGAUACCGUCGUAGUCUUAACCAUAAACUAUGCCGACUAGGGAUCGGAUGAUGUUAAUUUUUAAUGACUCAUUCGGCGCCUUACG
rnacentral:rRNA from 1 species